UACGGAGGGUGCAAGCGUUAUCCGGAUUCACUGGGUUUAAAGGGUGCGUAGGCGGGCAGGUAAGUCCGUGGUGAAAUCUCUGAGCUUAACUCAGAAACUGCCAUUGAUACUAUGUUUCUUGAAUUUUCUGGAGGUCAGCGGAAUAUGUCAUGUAGCGGUGAAAUGCUUAGAUAUGACAUAGAACACCAAUUGCGAAGGCAGCUGGCUACAGGGAUAUUGACACUGAGGCACGAAAGCGUGGGGAUCAAACAGG
rnacentral:rRNA from 1 species